rnacentral:rRNA from 1 species
CGCUUUUCGAUAACCACGUAUAUGAGAAGUAGAGCCUGCCCAGUGAAUUAAUUUUUAAACGGCCGCAGUACCCUGACUGUGCGAAGGUAGCAUAAUCGUUUGUCUCUUAAUUAGAGGCUAGAAUGAACGGUUUGACGAGGGCUUAACUGUCUCAAUAAUGAUUUACUAAAAAUUGACUUUUAGGUGCAGAGGCCUAAAUUAAAUUGAAGGACAAGAAGACCCUAUUGAGCUUUAAUAAACUUAAUAAAAUAAAUAAGUUAUUAAUAAAACUUUAAUUAUUAAACUAUUUAAGUUGGGGCGACUCAGGAACAAAAUUAACUUCCUAUAAACACUUUAAUAAAAUACAUAAAUAAUGAUCCAGACACUUCUGAUUAAAAGAAAAAGUUACCAUAGGGAUAACAGCGUAAUCCUUUUUAAGAGUACAUAUCGAAAGAGGGGGUUGCGACCUCGAUGUUGGAUUAAGAUAUCCUGAAGGGGCAAAAGUUUUCAAAGGUUAGUCUGUUCGACUAUU